rnacentral:rRNA from 1 species
UGCAGUCGAGCGGAAACGACUUAACUGAACCUUCGGGGAACGUUAAGGGCGUCGAGCGGCGGACGGGUGAGUAAUGCCUGGGAAUAUGCCUUAGUGUGGGGGAUAACUAUUGGAAACGAUAGCUAAUACCGCAUAAUGUCUUCGGACCAAAGAGGGGGACCUUCGGGCCUCUCGCGCUAAGAUUAGCCCAGGUGAGAUUAGCUAGUUGGUGAGGUAAGAGCUCACCAAGGCGACGAUCUCUAGCUGGUCUGAGAGGAUGAUCAGCCACACUGGAACUGAGACACGGUCCAGACUCCUACGGGAGGCAGCAGUGGGGAAUAUUGCACAAUGGGUGAAAGCCUGAUGCAGCCAUGCCGCGUGUAUGAAGAAGGCCUUCGGGUUGUAAAGUACUUUCAGUAGGGAGGAAGGUGUUGUAGUUAAUAGCUGCAGCAUUUGACGUUACCUACAGAAGAAGCACCGGCUAACUCCGUGCCAGCAGCCGCGGUAAUACGGAGGGUGCGAGCGUUAAUCGGAAUUACUGGGCGUAAAGCGCAUGCAGGUGGUUCAUUAAGUCAGAUGUGAAAGCCCGGGGCUCAACCUCGGAACCGCAUUUGAAACUGGUGAACUAGAGUGCUGUAGAGGGGGGUAGAAUUUCAGGUGUAGCGG